AUUCCAGCUCCAAUAGCGUAUAUUUAAGUUGUUGCAGUUAAAAAGCUCGUAGUUGGAUUUCGGGUGAGGAUGACCGGUCUGCCGUUGCGGUACGCACUGGACGUUUUCAUCUUGUUGUCGGGGACGCGCUUCUGGGCUUCACUGUUCGGGACGCGGAGUCGGCGCUGUUACUUUGAAAAAAUUAGAGUGUUCAAAGCAGGCAAUCGCUCUGAAUACAUUAGCAUGGAAUAACGCUAUAGGACUCUGGUCCUAUUGUGUUGGUCUUCGGGACCGGAGUAAUGAUUAAGAGGGACAGUUGGGGGCAUUCGUAUUUCAUUGUCAGAGGUGAAGUUCUUGGACCGUCUGAAGACUGACUACUGCGAAAGCAUUUGCCAAGAGUGUUUUCAUCA
rnacentral:rRNA from 1 species